GCGGGCGUGGUGUAGUCUGGUAUCACAUAGCCCUGCCACGGCUAUUACCCGGGUUCGAAUCCCGGCGCCCGCA
rnacentral:tRNA from 1 species